UACGGAGGGUGCAAGCGUUAUCCGGAUUCACUGGGUUUAAAGGGUGCGUAGGAGGGCAGGUAAGUCAGUGGUGAAAUCUUCGAGCUUAACUCGGAAACUGCCGUUGAUACUAUCUGUCUUGAAUAUUGUGGAGGUAAGCGGAAUAUGUCAUGUAGCGGUGAAAUGCUUAGAUAUGACAUAGAACACCAAUUGCGAAGGCAGCUUACUACACAACGAUUGACGCUGAGGCACGAAAGCGUGGGGAUCAAACAGG
rnacentral:rRNA from 1 species